AGCCUGAUGCAGCAACGCCGCGUGAACGAUGAAGGUCUUCGGAUCGUAAAGUUCUGUUGCAGGGGAAGAUAAUGACGGUACCCUGUGAGGAAGCCCCGGCUAACUACGUGCCAGCAGCCGCGGUAAUACGUAGGGGGCUAGCGUUAUCCGGAUUUACUGGGCGUAAAGGGUGCGUAGGUGGUUCUUCAAGUCGGUGGUUAAAGGCUACGGCUCAACCGUAGUAAGCCGCCGAAACUGGAGGACUUGAGUGCAGGAGAGGAAAGUGGAAUUCCCAGUGUAGCGGUGAAAUGCGUAGAUAUUGGGAGGAACACCAGUAGCGAAGGCGGCUUUCUGGACUGCAACUGACACUGAGGCACGAAAGCGUGGGUAGCAAACAGGAUUAGAUACCCUGGUAGUCCACGCUGUAAACGAUGAGUACUAGGUGUCCGGGGUUACCCCCCUCGGUGCCGCAGCUAACGCAUUAAGUACUCCGCCUGGGGAGUACGCACGCAAGUGUGAGACUCAAAGGAAUUGACGGGGGACCCGCACAAGUAUCGGAGCAUGUGGUCUAAUUCGAAGCAACGCGAAGAACCU
rnacentral:rRNA from 1 species